CUUGAGCUCUGGAUUCCACUGAUGUUUAUUGAGUACAAUUCCUUUGAUCCUAUGGGCUGAGGGUGGGCAGAUGGUUGGGUGAUCAUAGAGUGACCAUGGGGAGAGGUGGCAGAGGGGCUUAACAGAACAGGAUGUGAAAGCAGAUAGCCCGUCAGACCACAGGCCUGUGCAUCAAAGGAGUGGUCCACUCCAAGCACCAUCAGCAGAGCAGCAGAGCUCUCCGCCUCUGGGAACGAGCGAGAGAUAGAAGACUUCCUCCUCAUCUCUACCGCAGAGGACUUCUCCUCUUUUACAAGCAGCCUCCUGCUGUUCCCUUCUGGGGAAUGGAGCAGGGGUCGCUUCCCUUCCCACGAGACCUUUGUUCAGGGACUCAAGUGGGAGGUUGAGCAAUAAGCAAGCUUUCUUGCUUAGAGGCUCCGCACACUUCCUGCGGUUGUUUGUUCCACUCUGUGGUCAGUCAAGCAAGCUCACCGCCUGAUUCUUAUAUUGUUGGACUAAGCACAAGCUAUUCUUAUGAUUCAUGACUAUAUUAAUAAAGCACUAUUCUAAAGCAUAUAUUGUUAAUCCUUAAACAGGCACACUGUACGCUGGCCCUCGACUACCUCGGCCCACAUCCAAGCCCCUGUUUUGACCCACAAACCUCUCCUC
rnacentral:lncRNA from 1 species